rnacentral:rRNA from 1 species
GUUAUAGGGUCAAGCGAACAAGUGCAUGUGGUGGAUGCCUUGGCGAUCACAGGCGAUGAAGGACGCGGUAGCCUGCGAAAAGCUACGGGGAGCUGGCAAACAAGCUUUGAUCCGUAGAUGUCCGAAUGGGGAAACCCACUCCGUAUGGAGUAUCCAUGGCUGAAUACAUAGGCCAUGCGAAGCGAACGCGGUGAACUGAAACAUCUAAGUAACCGCAGGAAAAGAAAUCAACCGAGAUUCCCAAAGUAGUGGCGAGCGAAAUGGGAUGAGCCUUGUACUCUUUAUUUGUAUUGUUAGCCGAACGCUCUGGAAAGUGCGGCCAUAGCAGGUGAUAGCCCUGUAGGCGAAAACAGUAUGAAAGAACUAGGUGUACGACAAGUAGGGCGGGACACGUGAAAUCCUGUCUGAAGAUGGGGGGACCAUCCUCCAAGGCUAAAUACUCGUGAUCGACCGAUAGUGAACCAGUACCGUGAGGGAAAGGCGAAAAGAACCCCGGGAGGGGAGUGAAAUAGAUCCUGAAACCGCAUGCAUACAAACAGUCGGAGCCUCGUAAGGGGUGACGGCGUACCUUUUGUAUAAUGGGUCAGCGACUUACGUUCAGUAGCAAGCUUAACCGUAUAGGGCAGGCGUAGCGAAAGCGAGUCCGAAUAGGGCGUUCAGUUGCUGGGCGUAGACCCGAAACCAGGUGAUCUAUCCAUGGCCAGGAUGAAGGUGCGGUAACACGUACUGGAGGUCCGAACCCACUAACGUUGAAAAGUUAGGGGAUGAGCUGUGGAUAGGGGUGAAAGGCUAAACAAACCUGGAAAUAGCUGGUUCUCUCCGAAAACUAUUUAGGUAGUGCCUCGUGUCUCACCUUCGGGGGUAGAGCACUGUCAUGGUUGGGGGGUCUAUUGCAGAUUACCCCGCCAUAGCAAACUCCGAAUACCGAAGAGUGCAAUCACGGGAGACAGACAUCGGGUGCUAACGUCCGGUGUCAAGAGGGAAACAACCCAGACCGCCAGCUAAGGUCCCCAAAUAUGGCUAAGUGGGAAACGAAGUGGGAAGGCUAAAACAGUCAGGAGGUUGGCUUAGAAGCAGCCACCCUUUAAAGAAAGCGUAAUAGCUCACUGAUCGAGUCGUCCUGCGCGGAAGAUGUAACGGGGCUAAGCCAUAUACCGAAGCUGCGGAUGCGAGCUCGUCUCGCAUGGUAGGAGAGCGUUCCGUAAGCCUGCGAAGGUGCCUUGUAAAGGGUGCUGGAGGUAUCGGAAGUGCGAAUGC